rnacentral:lncRNA from 1 species
CGGAGGCUCAGACAAAUGUGUGUUGGAACUAAUUAUAUUCCUAGACCUUUCGGUCUCAUAGAGCUGGGAUCACAUUUAUCAUCAUCGUCGAUAAGAAUACAAAUGUGUUAUGGAUCUACUUGGUCAUAAUUAUACAAGUACAGCCUAGAGUAUUAAUGUUUUAAAAAAACUACAUAUACCUAGUCGUAAAGGUGGUGGUGUGAGAUGCAUCGAGAGGCUCAGACAAAUGUGUGUUGGAACUAAGUUUAUUCUUGGACCUUACGGUCUCAUAGAGCUGGGAUCACAUUUAUCGUCAUUGUCGCAUAGCAUAAGACACACACUAAGAGGCUAAUAAAUCCAUAUGUAUUCAUAUUACAAGCAAAGUUUAAAUAUCAAACAAAAAUGAAUAAAUUCAAAAAAAAAAAAAAAAAAAAAAUGCAAAUAAAGUAUUUAACAUUAAUAUUAAAUGUAUCAGAAAUGGAUCAUAGCUGAAGAAGCUAUUCUAUCUCCAUAUGAAAAUGGACUUAGAGGCUCAGACAAAUGUGUGUUGGAACUAAUUAUAUUCCUAGACCUUACAGUCUCAUAGAGCUGGGAUCACAUUUAUCAUCAUCGUCACAUAAAAUAAAAAUUAUGGAGACUACAUUAAAAAUUAUUCAAAUAAAGUAUAUAAAAUAAUAAAAUUAAAAUAUAAUACACUGAGAGGCUCAGACAAAUGUGUGUUGGAACUAAUUAUAUUCCCUGGCCUUGCGGCCUCAUAGAGCUGGGAUCACAUUUAUCAUCAU